rnacentral:lncRNA from 1 species
AUGCUUCAAAGCGUCCUUUCCCUUUUGCACCCAUUCUCCGACUUUAUCCUUGGUCACAUCCCACCCAUGUUUGACUCCGUCUUUCGCGUCAUCAUAAGUUUCCUUGGCGCUGUCCGCAGCUUGAUCUGCAGUAUCCUUGGGAUGAGAGAAGAAGCCUUUAAUCUUGUCGAUGACACCAUCAGGCGCUGGAGAUGCGGAUGUCUCGGUCGCGAUCUGAAAGUAAUAAUAAUAACUUCGUUGUAAGGGUCUGUAUUCGAAUCUCACUCAUACACGGAGAAAAAAACUUCGUGCGUGGGACCCGAAGUUGAGGUCAUAUGGAUCUCUGAAGUUUUCGGAUCGCGUAUCUAAAAACUCGAGGUCCAGCUGCCGAAGUUCAGGUCAGACAUCUGAGGUACUUCGGUACAUACCGAAGGGUACGGGUCAUACAUCUGAAGUAAGUACUCCGGUACAUACCGAUGUGCCUCGAUUAUUGACCCGAACUUAUCGGCAGCUCGACCUCAAGUUUUCGGAUGCGUGAUCAGAAAACUUCAGAGAUCCAUAUGACCGGGGCGUGUUUUGCGAUUUAUCGAUUUUACCCCCAUUUGGAGCUAUGGUUAAGAAUCGAUUAUUAAGGUGUUCCUUGCGAAACCCUGUCUAUCGUUCCUUUUCCAUAGGUUUAAAUGGUAGAUCGAUCACUUUAUCGCAAAGCACGCCACGCUACUAAUAUUACCCGUUUCUCAGGACUCGCCAAGCAAUGGAUUUAUCAGACAGUGAGGGGGGGGGGGCAAAAUGAAGGAUACUCCCCCCCCCCCCUGAAAGCAAAGUGAUUUGAUGGAGGCCGUUUUUUGUGUCAGAGCGUCGUGCGAUAUAUCGCAUCGAUUUGCUCCAUAAUUUCAGCUACUUGAAAUUUUUUUUUGAUAAUUUGAGCUCGCACUUCUGUUAUCAUUGGACUUAAGAAUUCACUUGCCAAAUUGGCCAAAGAAAUUCAACGUAAGAAAGGCGUGGUUUUUUUAGAGGGAAUAUAUCGCAUUCGAGUGCAGUUUCGAUAUCAGUAUCGAACGCGAUAUUUUUCCUCUAAAAAAACCACGCCUUGAACGCCAAAAACCGUUGAAUUUCUUUGUCAAAUUUGGUGCGUGAGUCCUUCAGUCUCAUGACAACAGAAGUGCUAUCUCAAAAUUUGAAGCAAAUGACAAGUAGCUGAAAUUAUGGAGCUAAUCGAUGCGAUACAUCGCACGUCGCUUUGAUGCAAAAAAUGGCCUCCAUGGAAUCACUUAAAAGACACUUUUUGAUAGACAGUCAGAGAUGUGACCGGUCCUUGCCGGCAUGCAAACCGGAAACAGGCGGACUCAGCAGUUUGGCAACACCGGAUUUCCUCAAUUUAAACCAAUGCUAUAAAUAAUCGAUUCUUGUCAGAGCGACAGGCCCCUCUAUGGAUCGAUACAUAUCCUUAAGUUUAAACGGAGAGAAGACAAUGUUGUUAAUUGGCUGGAUCCGCCAAUGCGGAAAUGUCACGAAUGUUCUAUACUCAAGAAUUUCAAAAAAAAAUUGGAGCUGAAAUUUCUCGAACUUUCAUCUGAUCCGCCAGUUGUCACUUGUUACAAAGUCAAGUUUGUAGUAGACGCCACCCUAAACAAGGGUGAAUCUUAGUGGGGGGGGGGGGGGGGGGGGCUAUGUUACUUUUUUUUUGUUUUGUAUAUUUUAUUUUUUAAAAUGUGUACAGUAAUUUGUUGCAUUUAAAAAAAAGAGCAGAAUAAAUUGAACCUAAACUCCCACAAUACCGCUAAAUGACCUCCGAACCCUUGAAGCACUCUAUGGGUCGCCGCUAUUAUCAGGCCCUGGCUCUAAUCGGUUCAUGUUUACACAAGCUACUGAUACAUAGUUAUUAUGAACUUACGAACUUAUCAGUUACCUAAAUAUUGCUGGGAAGGAUGAUGUAAUAUAAACGUCUAAACUAAAAAUUGAGGUAUAGAUACCGCGGCAAUCAUAGAACAGACAAUUGCUUCACAUUUUUGGACAAAUAUACGCCAACAAUUUGAAACUAAAUCGGAAUUUUUUAAUUUUAUAGGGUCGCCAGAACGUCAUUUCGAGAAAAAGCCUUUUUGAAAAACCUAAUCUUUCAUAUUUAGGAGAUGAAAUCGAUGAAUCGCUGAGUUGUGCGGUACAAACUUUACAUCCACAUUUCGCACCGAACCGAACUGCAUAGCUUUCAGCGUAUUUUUAAAACACGACUGAGAAGUAUGGUUUGAAGCCUUAAAUUCCGCAUUUUUUUAUCAAACUGGAUAAAAAGCACUCUUUGUAAGUCAAAUGUGCUCUCCAUGGAUCGAGGUCGCUUUUCUCGUGUUAAACCACAAGUUACAAUUUAAAUAUGUUUUGAGGACUUAGGCUCGAUUUUAAUCGGGCUCUGAAUAGCCGAAGAUAAUAGUCCAAACAGUAAAUAGAAGAAAUAGUUGAAGAUUGGGACCCUAAGCGUACUCAGUGCGCGCUUAUCUCGGCGCCCGGUUUUCUUAAAAAAAAGGAACAAAAUAUCAACAAGACGUGAAUCUUUUUCCACCAUAAGCAAGCUCAUUUGUCAUGCGAAAAAAAAAUUAUCGUUUACAACGUGCGCUUAGCUCAGUACUCAAGCAGUUUUCUUAAAAAUAUAAAAACUAUUGACAAGAUAAGGAUUUAUUUUAUCAGAGACAAGCCUUCCUCUUGUCCAAAAAUAAAAAAUAAAAAUAAAAAUAUCUGUUUACAAUAAUUUAGUUACCAAUUCUGUCUCACCCAGAAAAGUAAAUAUCUGUUUGCAGAAGUAAGUUGCACCUCCGUUGUUCCUAAACUGAGUCAGCAAGUUUAGUUCCUCAUCGCAGAAUGCGGUCGAAUUAUGCGUUGAUGAUUUGAUAUCAAUGAUGAUAUCUUUUUCUCCUCAAACCCAAAUCUCUCGCACGGUGGAUCAAAUGAUAUAAUUUUUUCCGCGUCACAUGUAUCUCUCUGCCGUGCUAAGGAAGAACGCCGUAUUAGCAUUCUAGAGUUGCCAAAGUUCCCUCGAUAAAACAUGUAUCUUUGAUAACAUUCAUGCAUAUUCUUCCUUGAAAUUGUCAGAUAUUUUAGAUUAAACCGCGUACAAUUUUUUUGAAAAUUUUGGAAAAUAAUACUCACAAUUUUCCUGGUAAUCUCAGUUUUUAUUCGAGGAAACUUGGCAACGUUGGAAGGCUCAUACGGCGUUCUUCCUUAGCACGGCAGCACUGUUAAAGCGAAAACAUUGGACUUCACUUACCAACGCAACGUCACAUGUCUCACUCUGCCGUGCUAAGGAAGAGUGCCGUAUUAGCAUUCGAGAGUUGCCAAAUUUCCCUGGAUAAAACAUGUAUUUUUGAUAACAUUCAUGCAUAUUCUCCCUUGAAAUUGUCAGAUAUUUUAGAUUAAUCCGCGUACAUAUUUUUUUGAAAAUUUUGGAAAAUAAUGCUCACACUGAAAAAAAAGUAGCUUGGAUCAAGCAUGAUGAUUCUUGAAUUUGCCGCCAAGAAUUUUUUUUUAUCUUGCUUUAAGCUGACUUUUUCUUGAUACAAGAAAAAUGAUGCUUGGGUUAAGCAAAAUAGUAGCUUAUUUUAACCAGAAAAAUUAUUGAUUUAAGAAGAAAUACUUCUUGGCGGCAAAUUUAAGAUUCCCUUUUUUCCAGUGUAGUAAUCUCAGUUUUUAUUCGAGGAAACUUGGCAACGUUGGAAGGCUCAUACGGCGUUCUUCCUUACCAUGGCAGCACUGUUAAAGCGAAACAUUGGACCACACUUACCAACGCAACGAUGAGAGAGAGAGCGAGGAAGAACGUAGGCCUACGAUAGAAGUUCAUUUUCACGACCGGAAUUUUUUAGUUUUGGAACACAAUAAUCAGGAACGGACGAAAUGUUUAACUAUGCCGCGUGUUGAAGCGCACUCGUAAGACUGUGAUAUUUGUCGGAUGUACCGCGCUUGGCUGCUACACGUGACACGAAACAUAAACACAAAAAGCACUCACUAAUUACACCGCGCGCGCUUCUCUGUAAUUCUUUGCGCAUUACUUCCGAGUACCUGCAAGGACCCCGGAUCAGGCGGGGGUAUCCACGGGUUAUCUGCUUGCUUUGAUGUGGAGUCGUAUCAGUUUAAUUAGGAUCGAGGACAUCGGCCAUGGAUGCCAGUUU